rnacentral:rRNA from 1 species
GAUCAUGGCUCAGGAUGAACGCUAGCGACAGGCUUAACACGUGCAAGUCGAGGGGCAGCAUGAGGUAGCAAUACCUUGAUGGCGACCGGCGCACGGGUGAGUAACGCGUAUGCAACCUGCCCGAUACCGGGGUAUAGCCCAUGGAAACGUGGAUUAACACCCCAUAGUACUUUUAUCCUGCAUGGGAUGUGAGUUAAAUGUUCAAGGUAUCGGAUGGGCAUGCGUCCUAUUAGUUAG